rnacentral:rRNA from 1 species
GAGAUUCCCCUAGUAACGGCGAGCGAACGGGGAAGAGCCCAUCGCCCAAUCCGACGCCUCCCUGGGCGUUNNGGAAAUUUGGCGUAUAGGAGAGACGCUUCCGGGCACCGACUCCGGUGCAAGUCCCCCUGACUGGGGCACCUACCCCGAGAGGGUGCAAGGCCCGUAGCGGCCGGAAGCCGGUCCCGGAUGUCCUCUCCUGGGAGUCGGGUUGCUUGAGAGUGCAGCCCCAAUCGGGUGGUAAACUCCAUCUAAGGCUAAAUACGACCUCGAGACCGAUAGCGAACAAGUACCGUGAGGGAAAGUUGAAAAGGACUUUGAAGAGAGAGUUCAAGAGUACGUGAAACCGUUCGGAGGUAAACGAGUGGGCCCUCGAAGGAAGACGGCGGGGGGACUCAGCCGAGGGCGCCCGGGUGGCUCCCGCGACUCGCUUCCCCAACAGGACGAGUCCGGGCGGCAGGCAAGUCCCGGGGCAGGCGGCGCAUUUCCCCUCGUCCUCUGACGCUGCGACCGGUCGGGUGCGCCACGAGCAGUCGGCCUUACUCGCGGGGACCGGCAGGUAGCCGGGGCGACGCUUCGGCGGCGUCCCGGUGUCUAGCCGCCCCGCAAUCGCGGCCGUUCACCCGACCGCAGGACACGGCCCCCAGGGGCCCCGCCGCGUCUUCCCUGGGUGGGAGCGCACCUUUCCGCCGGAAGGGAUGUCGCCGUGUAACGCCGGUCUCACCGAAGGUGUCCGGAGUGCGGCGGCGCCCGCUGGCCGGCGGAUUAGCGUGCCGACGCAGGCGGUCGGCAGCGAGUAGGUCGGUCACCCACUCGACCCGUCUUGAAACACGGACCAAGGAGUUUAACAUGCGCGCGAGUCAUUGGGUCUUGUUCAGGCCCAAAGGCGCAAUGAAAGUGAAGGUCGGCUUUCGCCGUCCGCGUUGGGAUCCGGGGGGCCCCCCAAAAGGACCUCCGGCGCACCAACGGCUCGUCCAGGCCGCCGCGUCGGCCGGGCGAAGCGAGAGCGUGCACGUUGAGACCCGAAAGAUGGUGAACUAUGGCUGGGCAGGACGAAGCCAGAGGAAACUCUGGUGGAGGUCCGCAGCGGUUCUGACGUGCAAAUCGAUCGUCAGACCUGGCUAUAGGGGCGAAAGACUAAUCGAACCAUC